CGCGGACUUCUCUGGCUGGGGCACUCCUCCCGGUCUCGUCCAUCCCAGCGAGGUCCCGGCGCGGCCGGGCCCAACGCGGCCCUUCCCCACCUGUUCUCCUCCCCCUGCAGCCGGCAGCUCCUGUUUUCUGAGUUCUGUGGCCCAUUUGCACAACAAGCAAAAAGACAAGAUAAACAACUUCUGUUUAGACUUUCCAAGGUCUUUUUCUCUGAAUGGCGUCUCAAGAACUCUGACUCCACGUCAUCCAGGAGUGAACCCAAACACUGGGGAUUCUUUCAACAUCCGAAAAGGGUCAUACGCCUUCAAUCCUGAGGUCAUCACUCCUCAAGAGAGGAUAAUCCCAGGGACAGCAGGAUCUGCUUCAUCACUUGGAUUUAGGAGUAAGGAACCCCUCAGGCAAAUAAACAGUAAUGAUGACCCACCAUUUAGCACACUGAGAGAAGAGCAGGACAAGGAGUUGGUGCAAGAAGAAUCCAGAUGCACCUGCUGACAGUGCCUACCGGGUCGCAGAGUACUGUGAGCUCUGCCCAUUGAACUGAAGGGAAAACUCUUUCCCCUCCCGAGACCCUUGG
rnacentral:lncRNA from 1 species